rnacentral:rRNA from 1 species
UGGGGAAUAUUGCACAAUGGAGGGAACUCUGAUGCAGCGACGCCGCGUGAACGAAGAAGGCUUUCGAGUCGUAAAGUUCUUUUAUAUGGGAAGAUAAUGAUGGUACCAUAAGAAAAAGCCCCGGCUAACUACGUGCCAGCAGCCGCGGUAAUACGUAGGGGGCUAGCGUUGUCCGGAAUCACUGGGCGUAAAGGGUUCGCAGGCGGAAAUGCAAGUCAGGUGUAAAAGGCAGUAGCUUAACUACUGUAAGCAUUUGAAACUGCAUAUCUUGAGAAGAGUAGAGGUAAGUGGAAUUUUUAGUGUAGCGGUGAAAUGCGUAGAUAUUAAAAAGAAUACCGGUGGCGAAGGCGGCUUACUGGGCUCAUUCUGACGCUGAGGAACGAAAGCGUGGGUAGCAAACAGG